UUUUUCCCUUUCCACCUAUGGCCCCUUGAUUCUCCAGGAGCUGCUCUGGCUAAAGACUCUAAAGAUAAUCAGGAGCUGACAUAUAAUUUUACUAUUCCUUACAUGGUCUAUCUUCAGUCCUUCCCAGAACCCUGCGUGGGGUCUCUCAUUCACCUUGACUGGGUAUUGACAGCUGCCCACUGCCCCUUACCGUAAGUAUCCCUUUCUCUUGCGAGCUGGGAGGAAUCUGUUCAAACAAAUGUAGAUCUGGUGGAAAUUCGACUGGGAGUUUCUCAACCUAGCAUCACAAACAAGAAACAACAGAUAUGAAACUAUUCAUCGAUUGUGACCUACCCUGACUUUGAUGCAAAAUCCUUGAACAAUGACCUAAUGAUGAUCAAACUAUCAACACCUGCUUCACUCAACCCCCAUGUGGGGACUAUAGCCAUAGCCUUGGAACCCAUUCCAUUUAAUGAAUCCUGCUUUAUUCCAACCUGGACCUGGAAUGAAUAUAAAAACUUUCCCACAGUCAGUGAUCCUGACAUCCUGACAUGGAUCAACCAAUAUUCUCUUCCAUUCCGUGACUGUCAGGAUAGACUCAAAGAAGAACAGGCAGGAAACAUCAUUUGUGUAGGACACCCUCUAAGGAUCCUAUCUAAAAACAAGUCUCUCUAUAAGGAUGUUUCGGCUGCCCCAGCCAUCUGCAAUGGGAGGUUGCAUGGAAUCUUGUCCUGGGCAGAAGGAAGUGUCACCCUAGGAAGUGAAGGAUUCUUCACAGGUGUUCAUAGCUAUGCAAGAUGGAUCUUGAAAAUUAUGGAUACCCAC
rnacentral:lncRNA from 1 species